rnacentral:RNase_P_RNA from 1 species
GUCAGUAGAGGUCGAGGCCGCGGCCCGCAGUUGACGGCCUUCGGGCCGGCUCAUUGAAUCAGGGCCGAGGAAAGUCCGGACUCCGCAGGGCGGUGUGGUGGAUAACUUCCACCGGGAGCGAUCCCAGGGAAAGUGCCACAGAAAAUAUACCGCCGACCUCGAGAGAGAAUCGGUAAGGGUGAAAUGGUGAGGUAAGAGCUCACCGCGAGGGUGGUGACACUCCUCGGCAAGGUAAACCCCACACGGAGCAAGACCGAAUAGGGGAGCAGAGGCUGCUCGUUUCGCGCGGACUCGUUCGCAUAACUCCCGGGUAGGUCGCAAAGAUGAAUGGUCUCGGGCUGGACCCAGGUUCAGCCAACAGAAUCCGGCUUACAACCUGCUGACCGGC